rnacentral:rRNA from 1 species
GACGAACGCUGGCGGCGUGCCUAAUACAUGCAAGUAGAACGCUGAAGGAGGAGCUUGCUUCUCUGGAUGAGUUGCGAACGGGUGAGUAACGCGUAGGUAACCUGCCUGGUAGCGGGGGAUAACUAUUGGAAACGAUAGCUAAUACCGCAUAAUAGUAGAUGUUGCAUGACAUUUGCUUAAAAGGUGCAAUUGCAUCACUACCAGAUGGACCUGCGUUGUAUUAGCUAGUUGGUGAGGUAACGGCUCACCAAGGCGACGAUACAUAGCCGACCUGAGAGGGUGAUCGGCCACACUGGGACUGAGACACGGCCCAGACUCCUACGGGAGGCAGCAGUAGGGAAUCUUCGGCAAUGGACGGAAGUCUGACCGAGCAACGCCGCGUGAGUGAAGAAGGUUUUCGGAUCGUAAAGCUCUGUCGUAAGAGAAGAACGAGUGUGAGAGUGGAAAGUUCACACUGUGACGGUAUCUUACCAGAAAGGGACGGCUAACUACGUG